rnacentral:lncRNA from 1 species
AACAAAUAUAAAUCAGCAAUUUUGGGGCAUACGCCAAUAGGAACACUGACACCUCUGGCAGCCAGGCCAAGCAGAGGGCUUCUGUAACAGUGAGAGGCAAGGAGUCAAGGCUCAGAGCUGCCUUUGCACAAGAAACAUCCCAGUGAUGCAAGUGACCUGCAGGAUUCACUGGUGCCCCACAGAGCUGCACAAGCUGGCCCAGGAUUUGGAGAAGCAGAAGAUUCGACAAGACCAAUAAGGGCUGUGGACUCAGCUGCUGUUUCACGCUCACAAGGUGGCCAGGAGACCAGCAAUUGUGUGCUUGAGCCCACAUCAACCUUCAGAGCAUAGAAAUGGCUGCUAUUUCACUUCCACUUCCAAAUCUCAUGAACUCCUCUUAUGGCCAACCCUAGCCUAGAACAGUACAAGAAAGGGAAUUCUGAAAAUUCCUUAGUAUUUCUGGUUAAAGUGAUGUACAUAGGCACCAAACUCACGUAAGGAUAGCCUCUCCCAUAGGAAUGUGGCCAAGCUUACACAAGUGUACAGCAGGGUUGGAGGUCUCCCUGGCCCCUUCAGUUCUACUGCUCAUGUCUUUCCCUGCCUUUAGGGCUAGCAGCAAAUGAUGCAAGUGUGUGCUGGUGUGGGUAAAAAUCCAGGGCUCCAGGCGGAGGGCUGUCUUGCUAUAGACACAAAUCUCUUUGAGGAUAGACUUGUAUUCCCAGCAAAAACCUGGUCCCUGCGGGAAGGGAAUGGAGCCAAGAAUGCAUAUAGACAUCUGAGCGUCUCCAAACGUGGCUGAGAGCAGGGGUUAUUGGAAUGUACUUCUUUUUUUUUUUUUUUUUUUUGAGACAGAGUCUUGCACUGUUACCCGGGCUGGAGUGCAAUGGCACAAUCUUGGCUCACUGCAACCUCCACUUCCUGUGUUCAAGCAAUUCUCCUGCCUCAGCCUCCCAAGUAGCUGGGAUUACAGGUGCCUACCAUUAUGUCCAGCUAACUUUUUGUAUUUUUAGUGGAGACGGGGUUUCACUGUGUUGGCCAGGCUGGUCUCAAACUCCUGACCUCAUAAUCUGCCCACCUUGGCCUCCCAAAGUGCUGGGAUUACAGGCAUCAGCCACCAUUCCCGGCCAGGGAUGCACUUCUUACAGGCAGCAGAAAUAGCCCCUCUCUACCCCAAACUCCGUUUAGAAUUUGAGUUCACCACAGAUUAUGUAUAAAAAUCAACAUUAACAAUAAUGAUAACUAAUAUUUUGAUAGUGAUUAGUAUUUGCCAGGCACUAUUACAAAUAUUUUAUAUACACACCACUUUAACUCAUGUAACAAAUCCAUCAGCACUAAUGGACUAGGCCCUGCUUGGUUAAAAAAAGAAAAGGUGACAACCACAGACUAAUACUAUUUAGGUAUAAGUUACCACAGAUGAUUUCAAGAUUUGACAUUACGUUUUUUAAAAACUUUCAUCUUAUCAAGAGCUAUUUUCAUGGAAAUGGAGUUUCACUGAACAAGAAUAUUGUAAUCUGCCAACAAGGUCGAAGUACCCUAAGCUUCUCCCGUCAAGAGACGGAGUCUAUUUCUCACCCCUUGAGUCUGGGCUGGCCUGUGACUUGCUUUGGAAUGCCAUGCAAGUGACAGCUCACCAGUUUUGAGCAUAGCCCUCAAGAGACUUUAUAGCUUCAGUUCUCUCUUAAAAUCUAGUUUUGCCACAUGGGACAAGCCUAAAAGAAAAGACACUACAUGGAGAGAGGCCCCAGAUCAUCCUGGCUGAGGCCCCAGACAAGUGAGUGUGUCCAGGGAACAACAGCCAAGCUUAGCCCAGACUGAAAGGACCUCCCAGCUAAGCCCAGAAUCAGG